AAUUGACUGGCAGAGACAUCUUCAUGUAAAACAACAUGGCCGUCUCUAUACAGGUUCAUGUCACUUACCGAGACGCUCCUGUCGACGUCCAACACGAAUUUAUGGACACGCAUUGAGGUGCAGUGACUUGAGAGGCUGACAAGAUCUUGAAGACCACCUGGCCUUUCCUAAAUGUACACAUGCGUUAUUACAAAAGGUGCAAAGUUCAAGGUUGUACAAGUCCUUCUGAGCAGGUUCCAGGGGACAAGGAGGAGACGAGCAGUCUGCAAGAACCUUCACAAGGGUGCUGCUGAUCUCCUCCCAUGUCAUCCUCUCGAUGGCACCCUGGAAUGUGUGCAUGAGCUGCUCCAUUCUUGAAGUUAAUAGAAAUAUUCUGAGUUUGUGCUUUAUUCAUGAACUGGCGAGAGGACUACAGCAUAGUCGCACACAGUGUUAUGUCUGGACGGAAGAAGAAGGAAGAAAGUGACAAACAGCAUCAGAGAGCUUCAAAACAUUGUUGCCAUGGACAAAUCUGAUGGCGUCACAUGCACAAAAACCAACCUUGCAUCCUCCUCUCUGCAGGUUGUAUGAGUCCAGUUGAGCAGGUUCCAGGGGGCAAGGAGGAGUAGGAGGAGGAGAGCAGUCUGCAAUAACCUCCAUAAGGGUGCUGCUGAUCUGCUCCCAUGUCAUCCCCUCGAUGGCACCCUGGAAAGUGUGCAGAAGCUGCUCCAUUCUCGAAGGUCUCUGUUACACACAAAAGACACAAAGAAGAGUAUGAGACAUUUUGGUCAGGAUAAACAACACACACUACAUUAUACUUUGGUGUCAAGGCGCCUCUAUUGGCAUUAAAUCCCACAACACUCUGACUCUGAUCAUAUAAUACUCUGAUUUAUUAAAGGGGCUGUUUGCAAAAUUUACACAGAUGCCUAUAGAGGGCGCUAACUUUCCAAUGUAUUUUACACAGUAUAUCACUCCCUCUUAAUCAGGGGUCUCAGACACGCGGAGACGUUAUUUUGCGGCCCGCACCUUAAUAUGAAAAUU